rnacentral:rRNA from 1 species
GGGUUGUGAGGUUAAGCGACUAAGCGUACACGGUGGAUGCCCUGGCAGUCAGAGGCGAUGAAGGACGUGCUAAUCUGCGAUAAGCGUCGGUAAGGUGAUAUGAACCGUUAUAACCGGCGAUUUCCGAAUGGGGAAACCCAGUGUGUUUCGACACACUAUCAUUAACUGAAUCCAUAGGUUAAUGAGGCGAACCGGGGGAACUGAAACAUCUAAGUACCCCGAGGAAAAGAAAUCAACCGAGAUUCCCCCAGUAGCGGCGAGCGAACGGGGAGGAGCCCAGAGCCUGAAUCAGUGUGUGUGUUAGUGGAAGCGUCUGGAAAGGCGCGCGAUACAGGGUGACAGCCCCGUACACAAAAAUGCACAUACUGUGAGCUCGAUGAGUAGGGCGGGACACGUGGUAUCCUGUCUGAAUAUGGGGGGACCAUCCUCCAAGGCUAAAUACUCCUGACUGACCGAUAGUGAACCAGUACCGUGAGGGAAAGGCGAAAAGAACCCCGGCGAGGGGAGUGAAAAAGAACCUGAAACCGUGUACGUACAAGCAGUGGGAGCACGCUUAGGCGUGUGACUGCGUACCUUUUGUAUAAUGGGUCAGCGACUUAUAUUCUGUAGCAAGGUUAACCGAAUAGGGGAGCCGAAGGGAAACCGAGUCUUAACUGGGCGUUAAGUUGCAGGGUAUAGACCCGAAACCCGGUGAUCUAGCCAUGGGCAGGUUGAAGGUUGGGUAACACUAACUGGAGGACCGAACCGACUAAUGUUGAAAAAUUAGCGGAUGACUUGUGGCUGGGGGUGAAAGGCCAAUCAAACCGGGAGAUAGCUGGUUCUCCCCGAAAGCUAUUUAGGUAGCGCCUCGUGAAUUCAUCUCCGGGGGUAGAGCACUGUUUCGGCAAGGGGGUCAUCCCGACUUACCAACCCGAUGCAAACUGCGAAUACCGGAGAAUGUUAUCACGGGAGACACACGGCGGGUGCUAACGUCCGUCGUGAAGAGGGAAACAACCCAGACCGCCAGCUAAGGUCCCAAAGUCAUGGUUAAGUGGGAAACGAUGUGGGAAGGCCCAGACAGCCAGGAUGUUGGCUUAGAAGCAGCCAUCAUUUAAAGAAAGCGUAAUAGCUCACUGGUCGAGUCGGCCUGCGCGGAAGAUGUAACGGGGCUAAACCAUGCACCGAAGCUGCGGCAGCGACGCUUAUGCGUUGUUGGGUAGGGGAGCGUUCUGUAAGCCUGCGAAGGUGUGCUGUGAGGCAUGCUGGAGGUAUCAGAAGUGCGAAUGCUGACAUAAGUAACGAUAAAGCGGGUGAAAAGCCCGCUCGCCGGAAGACCAAGGGUUCCUGUCCAACGUUAAUCGGGGCAGGGUGAGUCGACCCCUAAGGCGAGGCCGAAAGGCGUAGUCGAUGGGAAACAGGUUAAUAUUCCUGUACUUGGUGUUACUGCGAAGGGGGGACGGAGAAGGCUAUGUUGGCCGGGCGACGGUUGUCCCGGUUUAAGCGUGUAGGCUGGUUUUCCAGGCAAAUCCGGAAAAUCAAGGCUGAGGCGUGAUGACGAGGCACUACGGUGCUGAAGCAACAAAUGCCCUGCUUCCAGGAAAAGCCUCUAAGCAUCAGGUAACAUCAAAUCGUACCCCAAACCGACACAGGUGGUCAGGUAGAGAAUACCAAGGCGCUUGAGAGAACUCGGGUGAAGGAACUAGGCAAAAUGGUGCCGUAACUUCGGGAGAAGGCACGCUGAUAUGUAGGUGAAGUCCCUCGCGGAUGGAGCUGAAAUCAGUCGAAGAUACCAGCUGGCUGCAACUGUUUAUUAAAAACACAGCACUGUGCAAACACGAAAGUGGACGUAUACGGUGUGACGCCUGCCCGGUGCCGGAAGGUUAAUUGAUGGGGUUAGCGCAAGCGAAGCUCUUGAUCGAAGCCCCGGUAAACGGCGGCCGUAACUAUAACGGUCCUAAGGUAGCGAAAUUCCUUGUCGGGUAAGUUCCGACCUGCACGAAUGGCGUAAUGAUGGCCAGGCUGUCUCCACCCGAGACUCAGUGAAAUUGAACUCGCUGUGAAGAUGCAGUGUACCCGCGGCAAGACGGAAAGACCCCGUGAACCUUUACUAUAGCUUGACACUGAACAUUGAGCCUUGAUGUGUAGGAUAGGUGGGAGGCUUUGAAGUGUGGACGCCAGUCUGCAUGGAGCCGACCUUGAAAUACCACCCUUUAAUGUUUGAUGUUCUAACGUUGACCCGUAAUCCGGGUUGCGGACAGUGUCUGGUGGGUAGUUUGACUGGGGCGGUCUCCUCCUAAAGAGUAACGGAGGAGCACGAAGGUUGGCUAAUCCUGGUCGGACAUCAGGAGGUUAGUGCAAUGGCAUAAGCCAGCUUGACUGCGAGCGUGACGGCGCGAGCAGGUGCGAAAGCAGGUCAUAGUGAUCCGGUGGUUCUGAAUGGAAGGGCCAUCGCUCAACGGAUAAAAGGUACUCCGGGGAUAACAGGCUGAUACCGCCCAAGAGUUCAUAUCGACGGCGGUGUUUGGCACCUCGAUGUCGGCUCAUCACAUCCUGGGGCUGAAGUAGGUCCCAAGGGUAUGGCUGUUCGCCAUUUAAAGUGGUACGCGAGCUGGGUUUAGAACGUCGUGAGACAGUUCGGUCCCUAUCUGCCGUGGGCGCUGGAGAACUGAGGGGGGCUGCUCCUAGUACGAGAGGACCGGAGUGGACGCAUCACUGGUGUUCGGGUUGUCAUGCCAAUGGCACUGCCCGGUAGCUAAAUGCGGAAGAGAUAAGUGCUGAAAGCAUCUAAGCACGAAACUUGCCCCGAGAUGAGUUCUCCCUGACCCUUUAAGGGUCCUGAAGGAACGUUGAAGACGACGACGUUGAUAGGCCGGGUGUGUAAGCGCAGCGAUGCGUUGAGCUAACCGGUACUAAUGAACCGUGAGGCUUAACCUUACAACGCCGAAGCUGUU